GACUUCUCCUCGCGAGGGCCUCCCCCGUUUCCCGCGCGCGCCCUCCCCGCGGAGCUCUCGCGAGAGUCGCGUGCUGCAGACGGGAAGGACAAGAUGGCGGCGACAACGACGAUGGCGCUGGGCACGGAGUCCAUUAAGAUGGAGAAUGGGCAAAGCACGGCAGCCAAGCUGGGGCUGCCCCCUCUCACCCCAGAGCAGCAGGAAGCUCUCCAGAAAGCCAAGAAAUACGCGAUGGAGCAGAGCAUCAAGAGCGUGCUGGUGAAGCAAACCAUCGCCCACCAGCAGCAGCAGCUCACCAACCUCCAGAUGGCAGCAGUGACAAUGGGCUUUGGAGAUCCUCUCUCACCUUUACAAUCGAUGGCGGCCCAGAGGCAGCGCGCGCUCGCCAUCAUGUGCCGGGUCUACGUGGGCUCCAUCUACUACGAGCUGGGGGAGGACACCAUCCGCCAGGCCUUCGCCCCCUUCGGGCCCAUCAAGAGCAUCGACAUGUCCUGGGACUCCGUCACCAUGAAGCACAAGGGCUUUGCCUUUGUGGAAUACGAGGUUCCUGAGGCCGCCCAGCUGGCCCUGGAGCAGAUGAAUUCUGUCAUGCUGGGGGGAAGGAACAUCAAGGUGGGGAGGCCCAGCAACAUCGGGCAGGCUCAGCCCAUCAUUGACCAGCUGGCAGAGGAGGCGCGGGCCUUCAACCGCAUCUACGUGGCCUCGGUGCACCAGGACCUGUCCGACGACGACAUCAAGAGCGUGUUCGAGGCCUUUGGCAAGAUCAAAUCCUGCACCUUGGCCAGGGACCCCACGACAGGGAAGCACAAAGGCUACGGCUUCAUUGAGUACGAGAAGGCCCAGUCCUCCCAGGAUGCCGUGUCCUCCAUGAACCUCUUUGACCUGGGGGGUCAGUACCUGCGGGUGGGCAAGGCUGUGACACCCCCAAUGCCACUCCUGACACCUGCCACACCUGGAGGGCUCCCCCCUGCAGCUGCUGUCGCUGCUGCUGCUGCCACCGCCAAGAUCACAGCACAGGAAGCCGUGGCAGGAGCUGCAGUGCUGGGCACGCUGGCCACCCCGGGGCUCGUGUCCCCUGCCCUGACCCUGGCCCAGCCCCUGGGGGCCCUGCCCCAGGCUGUGAUGGCUGCACAGGCCCCCGGUGUCAUCACAGGUGUGACCCCUGCCCGGCCGCCCAUCCCGGUGACCAUCCCGCAGGUGGGGGUUGUGAAUCCCAUCCUGGCCAGCCCCCCGGCCCUGGGGCUGGUGGAGGUGAAGAAGGAGAAGGAGGAGGAGGAGGUGUUCCAGGAGUCGGAGCGGCCGGAGAUGCUGAGCGAGCAGGAGCACAUGAGCAUCUCGGGCAGCAGCGCCCGCCACAUGGUCAUGCAGAAGCUGCUCCGCAAGCAGGAGUCCACGGUGAUGGUGCUGAGGAACAUGGUGGAUCCCAAGGACAUCGACGACGACCUGGAGGGAGAGGUGACGGAGGAGUGCGGCAAGUUCGGGGCCGUGAACAGGGUCAUCAUCUACCAGGAGAAGCAGGGCGAGGAGGAGGACGCCGAGAUCAUCGUCAAGAUCUUCGUGGAGUUCUCCAUGGCCUCAGAGACUCACAAGGCCAUCCAGGCGCUCAACGGGCGCUGGUUCGCGGGCAGGAAGGUGGUGGCCGAGGUCUACGACCAGGAGAGGUUCGACAACAGCGACCUCUCGGCAUGAACUGCGCCCCGGGGCUGGGGCUGGGCCUGACUCUGAUCCUGGGGCUGGGGCUGGGCCCAGAUCUGAUCCUGGGGCUGGGGCUGGGCCCAGAUCUGAUCCUGGGGCUGGGAUGGGCCUGGGGCUAGGCCUGGACCUGAUCCUGGGGAUGGGCCUGGGGUCUGGGGCUAGGCCUGGGCCUGGAUCUGAUCCUGGGACUGGUAUGGGCCCAGCUCUGAUUCUGGGGCUGGGGAUGGGGCUGGGCCUGGAUCUGAUCCUGGGACUAGGCCUGGACAUGAUCCUGGGCUUGGGAUGGGCUCAGAUCUGAUCCUGGGGCUUGGACUGGGCCUGGAUCUGAUCCUGGCUCUGGGGAUGGGCCUAGCUGUGAUCCUUGCUGUGGGGAUGGGCCCAGCUCUAAUCCCAGCUCUGAUCCCAGGGUUUGGCUGGGCCUGGGUCUGGGGAUGGACCUGACUGAUCCCAGGGCUGGGCUAGGGAAUGGGCCCAGCUCUGCUCCCAGGGCUUGGCUAAGCUUGGAUCCAGGGAAAUGGUCCAGCUCUGAUCCCAGGGCUUGGCCAAGCUUUGAUUCAGGGCAUCAGCCCAGCUCUGAUCCCAGGGCUUGGCUAAGCUAGGAUCCAGGGACUCAGCCCAGCUCUGCUCCCAGGAAUGGGCCAAGCUCUGCUCUGGGCCCGGCCCUGCCCCCUCUGCCUCCCAGGGUUUUUGUAGCUGUGUGUAAAGGACAUUCCAGAACAUUCCAGGGCAGGCACAGGGAUCUGGUGUCUGGGGAGUUGAGAUAAAAACUCAAAGAAA